AUUGAACGCUGGCGGCAGGCCUAACACAUGCAAGUCGAGCGGAUGAAGGGAGCUUGCUCCUGGAUUCAGCGGCGGACGGGUGAGUAAUGCCUAGGAAUCUGCCUGGUCGUGGGGGAUAACGUCCGGAAACGGGCGCUAAUACCGCAUACGUCCUGAGGGAGAAAGGGGGGGAUCUUCGGACCUGACGCUAUCACAUGAGCCUAGGUCGGAUUAGCUAGUUGGUGGGGUAAAGGCCUACCAAGGCGACGAUCCGUAACUGGUCUGAGAGGGUGAUCAGUCACACUGGAACUGAGACACGGUCCAGACUCCUACGGGAGGCAGCAGUGGGGAAUAUUGGACAAUGGGCGAAAGCCUGAUCCAGCCAUGCCGCGUGAGUGAAGAAGGUCUUCGGAUUGUAAAGCACUGUUAUUUGGGAGGAAGGGCAGUAAGUGAAUACCUUGCUGGUUUGACGUUAUCAACAGAAUAAGCAACGGCUAACUUCGUG
rnacentral:rRNA from 1 species